rnacentral:lncRNA from 1 species
CUCUCUCUCACUCACUCACUCACUCACUCACUCACUCACUCACUCACUCACUCACUCACUCACUCACUCAGGUGAAUCAUUGUGCAUGUACAUAUAGAUAUCAGGUUGCAUUUUUCAAUAAGAGGUUGCACUUGUUCAUGUUAUGUAUAGCUAAAUCGAGCCCUGACAAUCAAUUGUCGAGUAGGACAGGUCAGGACAGCUAAUGGUGUGAUUGGACAGUCCAACAAGGUGGUCGUAUAUAGGUCGGGAUAACGGACGGUGUAUAUAUGGGGUGUGACUGACAGUCUGUCCUACAAGGUGGUCGUGUAUAGGUCAGGAUAACGGACGGUGUGUAUAUGGGGUGUGACUGACAGUCUGUCCUACAAGGUGGUCGUAUAUAGGUCGGGAUAACGGACGGUGUAUAUAUGGGGUGUGACUGACAGUCUGUCCUACAAGGCGGUCGUAUAUAGGUCGGGAUAACGGACGGUGUAUAUAUGGGGUGUGACUGACAGUCUGUCCUACAAGGUGGUCGUAUAUAGGUUGGGAUAACGGACGGUGUAUAUAUGGGGUGUGACUGACAGUCUGUCCUACAAGGUGGUCGUAUGUAGGUCUGGAUAACGGACGGUGUAUAUAUGGGGUGUGACUGACAGUCUGUCCUACAAGGUGGUCGUAUAUAGGUCAGGAUAACGGACGGUGUAUAUAUGGGGUGUGACUGACAGUCUGUCCUACAAGGUGGUCGUAUGUAGGUCAGGAUAAACGGACGGUGUAUAUAUGGGGUGUGACUGACAGCCUGUCCUACAAGGUGGUCGUAUAUAGGUCGGGGAACCUGAUGGUGUAUAUAUGGGGUGUGGUUCCCCUUGUUUUGCCCAUCCUCGUCUUUGUCAGAAUGUGAUCAGGAAAAAUGGCUCAAUUUUUAUGACUUGGACAGUGAUGCAAAGCCAAACCAAUUGUUUUCAGGUUUAUUUCCCAAGACAAACUCUUGAAAUAGGUCUUCUCAACUUUACCUACACAUACAUUUUGAAACACGCUUUUAAUUUGCUUUUACAUUCACAAAUUUUAAGGUAGGCUUGUCACAAAAUAAGUUGGUCUGGCCAAAUGUAGCUAUUCAAACUUAAUGCAUUCUUCCUUAGAAGGUACUUGUAAAUCAUCCCCUUUUAACAUGUGGCAAAUUGUUCUUGGGGGGCUAUUAUCAUCCAUACCGAUAGAACAUUUCAACCAUAAGUUGUAACCUCGAGGACUGUUCAAGGGAGGUUUGAAACAGAUAGUUUCACUUGAAUUUAUUAUCCCUGGAAGAAAGAUUUCCCUAGUUGCCUAUUUUACAGUACACGGGUAGACAAGUUCAUUGUAUUUAGGGAGCACGGGUGGCCCAGUUGUCUAAAGUUCUGCGAUUCGCUGUGCAGAGAUACGUCCCAUGGGCACACCAGAAACCUAUGACUGUGGGUUUGAAUCCCGGUUCGUCCCAAUUAUGUUUCUAGGUUUGUCAGCACCAUACCUGUGCUCGUGGGUUUCACCGAAGUGGUAAACGUCUGAGACCUGCAUCACUUCGGGCUUUCCUCCCACAUUAAUCUGACACGCCACGAUAUAACUAAAAUAUUGUUAAAAGUGGCGUUAAACUCAAUUCACUCACUCACUCAUUGUAUUUGGCUAGCCUUUUGUAAUGUUGACUAAAAGAGUGGACUGUUUGAUUGUAUAUGAGUAUGACGAGUUAAGUGAAUUGACUGUAUAGUAGCAUAUAUACCAUUUGACAUAACAUUAUUGAAUUGUAAGAGCGAAGCACUUCAUUGAUGGAAAGAAUGUCAUGGAACUAUGGAAACUGUUUAGUGUAAUGGCAAUAAGCAGUGUCAUAGUUCUACAGACUUGUUUUAGGUGUCGAUAGAAGAGAAAGUACAAGGUUGAUUACAGUGCACACUCUUACAAACUUGCACAUUCUUUAUUAGAAUUAGUUCAUUAGCUAUUCUUAGUGUUGCUGUCAAACUGUUUCCGCUGAUUGUCUCAAUAUUCUCUACCUCAGUGAGUGUGACUUCAGUUAUGCAUGAGUGGAUACAAGCAACAUGGCUUUUGUCCAGUUAGAUUUUCAAAGAGUUUAAAUGUUUUCAGAAAUGUGUUUGAGGAAACUUAGAAAUAUAACAAACCUCAUAGAAUAAGGUAAUGACACACAUUCUACCAUGAAAUAACUUGAUUCUGAUUGGUCAAUCAGAGGUGGUUAGAUCACAAUAAACCCCCUUGAUUCAACAAGCUGAUUUAACAAGUAAAUAAUAUUUUUUACAACCCAAACAUGGUUCAUUCUGUGGUUUCAUUUCAGAUUUUUGUCUCGUGUUUGUCCAUCAUGUCUCUAUAAAACAACCAAGCAGUACCUGUUCUGAAGACAUGCAACUAAUCAAUGCUUUAGGUCACCGGUUCGAAUCCCGGUUUGUCCUGAUUAUGUUUCUAGGUUUGUCAGCACCAUACCCAUGCUCGUGGGUUUCACCGAAGUGGUAAACGUCUGAGACCUGCUUCACUUUGUGCUUUCCUCUCACAUUAAGCUGACAUGCCGCGAUAUAACUGGAAUACGGUUAAUAGUGGCGUUAAACCCAACUCACUCACUCACACUAGCCAGUUGUUGAAGUCAGGGCAGGAGGCUGAUGUACAGUGUGUACUGUAUUGGAGUGUCUCCUCUCUCCUCUAUGUUACACUGUUAUUACAUGCCGUGCAUGUAGCACUUGUGUAUACGACUCAUAUCAUGAUGUUCAUACUUUAUAUUGAUUCUGUAUACAUUUAACUGUAAAUAAACACCUGUGAUAUAUUUUA